rnacentral:ncRNA from 18 species
UGCCGGGAGUGGACUAAUAAAAAACCCGAAAGGGAAAUAUGUCCGGCCCUCUAGCUAGGUAGUAGGGUUUCUUAGCUCCCGGCGCCCAGCUU